AAGGACCCGCAGGGUGUUGGGUGGAAAGAGCGGGUAUAGACAAGCUGGAAGGUUCUUAUGCAUGUAUGCACAGGACCGGGUGUGAGGCGCCGAGACAGGGCUUGGUAUGCAACCUUCUUAAAAGCUGUGGGAGAGAUCCUUCUACUGCCUGGUUGGAUUGCUGUGUCAGAGGACAGCGCCGUGGUACUGAGUCUCAUCGACACUGUUGACACCGUCAUGGGCCACGUAUCCUCCAACCUGCACAGCAGCAUGCCCCAGGUCACCGUGGAGGGCUCCUCUGCCAUGGCAGAGUUUUCCGUGGCCAAAAUCCUAACCAAGACCAUGAAUUCCUCCCAUUACCGCUUCCCGGCCCACGGGCAGAGCUUCAUCCAGAUCCCCCACGAGGCCUUCCACAGGCACGCCUGGAGCACCGUCGUGGGUCUGCUGUACCACAGCAUGCACUACUACCUGAACAACAUCUGGCCUGCCCACACCAAGAUCGCGGAGGCCAUGCAUCACCAGGACUACCUGCUGUUCGCCACCAGCCACCUGAUUUCCCUGGAGGUGU
rnacentral:sRNA from 1 species